rnacentral:lncRNA from 1 species
AAUAAUAAACACUUGUUCAAAUUUUAAGGUUUCUUUUCUGUUUUGGCCCCUUGCCACCAGCCGGCGUUGGUGAUCUUCACGUAUUGACUUUUGCUAAAAACAUCACCAUUUAUGAAACUUGAAACAAUCUUAAUUCUUCAUAUUUUUCCUUAAUCUCAUCAAAUCCCAUAUACACUAACACAUUUCUUUUUCAAAUGUCAUUAGCUACCCAUUUUUCAGCAUUCCUUUUCCUUUUUACAAUAGGCAUUCGCCGUCUAAUUUUCUGCAUUUCCAAUUACCUCAAAAACCCAUCACUCUAUAGAUCAAGAACAUGGUAUUUCUCAGAACCCAAAUGGAAAAAUCUUGAUUUAUACUCUCUUUUAAUCAUUCUCCCCAUUGCCUCAUUUUCUCAUGUAUUUCUCUUCCUAGCUUUUUCAGGCACCAACAUAACUUAUAAAUUCUCAUUCUUACAGCAAUCUUUAGUCAUUUUCCUCUUUUGGGUACUCUUAAUUCUUAUCAUAAUUAAAGAAAGUUUUGAUCUCUAUGCAAUUCUUGAUAGUUUUGUUUACUGUUUUGCUGGUGUUUCUUUUGCUGUUGAAUUCUUGAUGAAUGGGAAAGGACUUGUUGGUCUUAGUGGUAAUGUGUAUGGACAUUUAGGAGAAUUGGGACUUGUUUGUGCUGGUUGUUGUUUGUGUUUAGCAGUAAAUCCAUGUGCUUUUUUUGUGGAGUUUUCGUUUUCCUCUGUGCUUGUAUUGAAAGGGACUUGGGUUUUUGCAAGUGGGGUUGUUGUUAUAUACUGAUUUUUUNNNNNNNNNNNNNNNNNNAUAGGCAUUCGCCGUCUAAUUUUCUGCAUUUCCAAUUACCUCAAAAACCCAUCACUCUAUAGAUCAAGAACAUGGUAUUUCUCAGAACCCAAAUGGAAAAAUCUUGAUUUAUACUCUCUUUUAAUCAUUCUCCCCAUUGCCUCAUUUUCUCAUGUAUUUCUCUUCCUAGCUUUUUCAGGCAC